rnacentral:rRNA from 1 species
GACGAACGCUGGCGGCGUGCUUAACACAUGCAAGUCGAACGGAAAGGCCCUGCUUGCAGGGUACUCGAGUGGCGAACGGGUGAGUAACACGUGGGUGAUCUGCCCUGCACUUCGGGAUAAGCCUGGGGAACUGGGUCUAAUACCGGAUAGGAGCCAUUUUUAGUGUGAUGGUUGGAAAGUUUUUUCGGUGUAGGAUGAGCUCGCGGCCUAUCAGCUUGUUGGUGGGGUAAUGGCCUACCAAGGCGGCGACGGGUAGCCGGCCUGAGAGGGUGGACGGCCACAUUGGGACUGAGAUACGGCCCAGACUCCUACGGGAGGCAGCAGUGGGGAAUAUUGCACAAUGGGCGCAAGCCUGAUGCAGCGACGCCGCGUGGGGGAUGACGGCCUUCGGGUUGGAAACUCCUUUCGCUAGGGACGAAGCUUUUUGUGACGGUACCUAGAUAAGAAGCACCGGCUAACUACGUG